GAUGAACGCUGGCGGCGUGCCUAAUACAUGCAAGUCGAGCGAACAGACGAGGAGCUUGCUCCUCUGACGUUAGCGGCGGACGGGUGAGUAACACGUGGAUAACCUACCUAUAAGACUGGGAUAACUUCGGGAAACCGGAGCUAAUACCGGAUAAUAUAUUGAACCGCAUGGUUCAAUAGUGAAAGACGGUUUUGCUGUCACUUAUAGAUGGAUCCGCGCCGCAUUAGCUAGUUGGUAAGGUAACGGCUUACCAAGGCGACGAUGCGUAGCCGACCUGAGAGGGUGAGCGGCCACACUGGAACUGAGACACGGUCCAGACUCCUACGGGAGGCAGCAGUAGGGAAUCGUCCGCAAUGGGCGAAAACCUGACGGAGCAACGCCGCGUGAGUGAUGAGGGUCUUCGGAUCGUAAAACUCUGUUAUUAGGGAAGAACAAAUGUGUAAGUGACUAUGCACGUCUUGACGGUACCUAAUCAGAGAGCCACGGCUAACUACGUG
rnacentral:rRNA from 1 species